GCCGCGGUGGUGCAGUGGUCAGCACACCCGACCUGGUAUCCUGCGCUCGCUUCCUACGUUCGCUCACCUAAGAUCCCAAUACUCUCGCUCUCGAGGGUCGGGAGGUCGCAGGUUCGAAUCCUGCUCGUGGUG
rnacentral:tRNA from 1 species